CAGCACGUGGACUUGCCCAGCCCCAACGUCCCGUUCGGGAGGACAGCGGCGCUAGGGCUAGCACGCCGCUUGACUCUUAAGGGCACUCACGUGCGUCCUGCUCAGUCUCUCUUCAUGCUCCAUUUGGCCCAAAACGAUCCAAAGGAGCGGAGCGAGCCACCCCCCCCCCCCCCCCCCCAUGGUUGCCAUGGGCGCUUUUAUGUCCUCGCAGCCCGUACCGCCACAUCACCCGAACGAGCUCAAAGGUACGCUGAUAAGUGGCGGGAGGUAUCGCAAUGCCUUUGGGCAGAUAAACCGAAAGGGGCGGGGCCAGUUUGCAAGACCAGAGCACGCACGGCGAGUUCAAAACAAAGACAAUGACGUCAUUGAUGAAUUCACACGUGAAAGAAUGAAUUCCCUUUUGAUGGCGGGAAUGGCUGACCCCAAACUGCCGGCCGGCGUCAUGGCAACCUGGCGCAGGACUUCUCUGUGGUGCUGAAGUCUUCAAUUGGGGCCGGGCGUUGGGGGGGGGGGGUCCUCGAACCUCGCCAGCAGUAUCACCGAUGCAGAACAAAGGCGCUCUGUCUCUGAGGGGCACCGGACCAAUUGCCUGAGCCCCCCUUGGUCCUUUACUUUGGAUUCAACCGCUUUGGAUCCACAUGCUUCCCCCCCCCCCCCCCAGGGAGAAGAAAAAAUUUAACCCCCCCAACUCUCUACAGACUAUAAAUGUGUUAAUUGUAAUAAGUGCGGCUCUGCAUUAACAUGUUACCUGUGUGUGUGUGGGGGGGGGGUCACACACACUAUUUGAGAAAUGCUAACAUGCAUCAUUUCAAUAAGUUGUCAUCUUUGCCGUUCAUCUCCAGUUACGUAAACAAUCAUGCAUCAAUCAAGCUUAACACAAGGGAAUAUUUGUCCUCUCCUCGUCUACUAUUGGUCCAUUUUCAAGGCUUAAAACCAGAUAGUCAAUGCUGUAACGGAGUGGCAGGCACGCUGGAAAUAUUAAAGUGCGACAUUUGGCCUCAUGCAUGUGCGCGGUCAAACACGUCCAACUUGAAUGGGAGGGAAGGAGUGUUGCUGCCUGUCACCCACACGAUGUGCUGAUGUGCGAUCUACUCCGUUGGCUUUUGGGCCAAUUUAAGGUUCCUUCGCAGCCUGGCCGAGCGGGAGCCUUUCGACAUGUACCUUAAGAUCCCUGUCAUGGAUGUGCUACCUGGCGAGCGGCAUCGCACAUGCACAUUAGAUUAAAAAUGAUAAAAGAAACAUAUUCUGUGCCUAUGUAUACGCGCGCGUUUGAGGCGGGGCGAGGGGGGGGGGGGGCUCACCUGUGUCGACCAGGCAAGCGUCGGGCGGUAUCCUCUCGCUUCCUUCCCGGCUGAUAGAGUCGCGACACAGCGGUGGCUCGCGAACGGACGUCUGACGUCACACGUCGGCGGAGCCCCGUGACGAGGACAAAGCAGGUGAAUUUGCACCGGGGCGCGUCUGGUUUCAUUUCAGGGAACCUUGACGUCACAUCACCGUCCGGCUGCCUGCUGAAUCAUCCACGCGCGCGCAUGCACGCACGAACGCUCGGUUUGCGCAUGCCCGCUGAACAUCUGACGUUGUCAUCCGACCGGACUUGCCUCGUCGGAAGUGGCUGCCUUUCGCACUAAAAGCUGCGCGCCAACAGGAAGUAGAAGACGCAAAGCUGCCACUCUGGUGAAAUGCAGUGCUUUCCAGCUCUGUCCACUGGGGGACAGCAUUCGCCAUCCCGCGCACCACUUCAUCAGCCAAGUGGACGACAACGGACUGCAAACAAUUACGCCGAUGUGAUUUCAUGUGCUGUCGUGAGUAAAACGUAGUCUGGUGAAUGUCAAAGAUGCGCAACAACCCAAAAUUAGUUU